rnacentral:rRNA from 1 species
AGCGGACAGAAGGGAGCUUGCUCCCGGAUGUUAGCGGCGGACGGGUGAGUAACACGUGGGUAACCUGCCUGUAAGACUGGGAUAACUCCGGGAAACCGGAGCUAAUACCGGAUAGUUCCUUGAACCGCAUGGUUCAAGGAUGAAAGACGGUUUCGGCUGUCACUUACAGAUGGACCCGCGGCGCAUUAGCUAGUUGGUGGGGUAAUGGCUCACCAAGGCGACGAUGCGUAGCCGACCUGAGAGGGUGAUCGGCCACACUGGGACUGAGACACGGCCCAGACUCCUACGGGAGGCAGCAGUAGGGAAUCUUCCGCAAUGGACGAAAGUCUGACGGAGCAACGCCGCGUGAGUGAUGAAGGUUUUCGGAUCGUAAAGCUCUGUUGUUAGGGAAGAACAAGUGCGAGAGUAACUGCUCGCACCUUGACGGUACCUAACCAGAAAGCCACGGCUAACUACGUGCCAGCAGCCGCGGUAAUACGUAGGUGGCAAGCGUUGUCCGGAAUUAUUGGGCGUAAAGGGCUCGCAGGCGGUUUCUUAAGUCUGAUGUGAAAGCCCCCGGCUCAACCGGGGAGGGUCAUUGGAAACUGGGAAACUUGAGUGCAGAAGAGGAGAGUGGAAUUCCACGUGUAGCGGUGAAAUGCGUAGAGAUGUGGAGGAACACCAGUGGCGAAGGCGACUCUCUGGUCUGUAA